UAAGUCCCAAUUCUCAUGCUCUAUUACCUGAAAAGUGAACAGAAAAUUUAAAGAAAUACUAUAUGAAACAUAAAACUACGCAGCAAUAUACAUCACAAGAAUGUAAAAGCUAAUAUGUGAAUGAUUCUAUUGAAUAAAUGGUUUUAACUUUUACAUGCCAAAUCUCACGUAAAUCCAAGCAAUGUGCUGAUUUUAGUAUCUAAAAUCCCAAAAUGGCCAUUUCUUCAAGGACAACCUUACUUUGGUUACAAUAACUCAGGCAACUUUCAACUUCAACCUUAGUAUUGUAAAUCUAAAAUUCAAAAUUUUGAAAACCCCUAACUUUUUUAUAAUUUGGGGAUUUUUGAUCUCAACUCCUCAAUUCCGUAAAAUUGAGCUUUAAGCUCCAAAAAUGAAAGAUAGUUAAAUCCAAUAAAGAUAAUGAAGAAGAAUUGAAACAUGGACCUUCAUAAUCGAAAUCCGAAACAACAAUAGUUAAUCCCAUAGUCAAUACCUUUGGGGCUGAGGUGAAAAAUUAAGCACAAACAUUUAUGUGGGAGCCUGCCCUGGCGCGAGAAAUCUGACCAGCUUGCAAAAAUGAAGGCAUCUGUAAUGUGGUCCAUGACGUCUUUGUUGUAAAGGCCAACUAGUAAACAAACAAAACAAACUAUCAGUGUAAGUGAGAGAGAGACCCCAAAAGACGGGAAAAAGAUCUUUUAAUUACAGGGAACCUGUGAUUAAUAGCCCAGAAAUUCAAGGAAAAUAAGGGGGAAAACUUGAAUCUGACCCCAAUAACGAGGAAAGAAUCAGAUGCAGAACAUGUUAAAUAAAGACAAUAAAGAUUUACUCAGUCCUAGAUCUCUCUCCUUUCCUCCAUCCUCGUUCUCAGAUCUCCCUAACCCGGCUUCACCACCUACUUCUUCUACUGAUAUAGCUUUUCAUGAAAUCAUAUAGUGGAGCUUUGACCGUCUUACAUCAAUGGUUGGAUUGCCUUUAGUCGUAUCAGGAGAUGGAGAUGGAGA
rnacentral:lncRNA from 1 species